UACGGAGGAUGCGAGCGUUAUCCGGAUUUAUUGGGUUUAAAGGGUGCGCAGGCGGGAAAAUAAGUCAGCGGUGAAAUCUCUGGGCUCAACCCAGAACCUGCCGUUGAAACUGUUUUUCUUGAGUAUAGAUGAAGUAGGCGGAACUCGUUGUGUAGCGGUGAAAUGCAUAGAUAUAACGAAGAACUCCAAUUGCGUAGGCAGCUUACUAAGCUAUUACUGACGCUCAGGCACGAAAGCGUGGGUAUCAAACAGG
rnacentral:rRNA from 1 species